UGGGGAAUAUUGCACAAUGGGCGAAAGCCUGAUGCAGCGACGCCGCGUGAGGGAUGACGGCCUUCGGGUUGUAAACCUCUUUCAGCAGGGACGAAGCGCAAGUGACGGUACCUGCAGAAGAAGCACCGGCUAACUACGUGCCAGCAGCCGCGGUAAUACGUAGGGUGCAAGCGUUGUCCGGAAUUACUGGGCGUAAAGAGUUCGUAGGCGGUUUGUCGCGUCGUUUGUGAAAACCAGCAGCUCAACUGCUGGCUUGCAGGCGAUACGGGCAGACGUGAGUACUGCAGGGGAGACUGGAAUUCCUGGUGUAGCGGUGAAAUGCGCAGAUAUCAGGAGGAACACCGGUGGCGAAGGCGGGUCUCUGGGCAGUAACUGACGCUGAGGAACGAAAGCGUGGGUAGCGAACAGG
rnacentral:rRNA from 2 species